UGGCUCAGACAGUAAAGCAACUGCCUGCAAUGCGGGAGACCCAGGUUCGAUUCCUGG
rnacentral:tRNA from 1 species